UUAUGCGAUCGAAAAAUCUCCAGCCAUUCGACUUCUUACACUUGUUUAUAUCGAUUACAUUUCUGUGUUGUUGAAGAAACAUAUGUUUUUUCGAUAAUCGAUUGCAACACGGCGCUCAUUUAGUGUCAAAAAGUUCCUGGAGUAACAAGUACAAAGUGAAUUAAGUGAAAUAAUUGAAGAACAAUGUGAAAAUGGGCACGGUGUGCAGGUUAAAAAUCGACUUCUGAGAAAUAUGCCCAGAGAAAGAGCGUGCAUUGUUUUCGAAGUAGGACGACCUGAAGCGCAGUGUUUCCUUUUUACGAUAGGAAGAUUAAAAACUAUCUCAGCAGGCAACAGCUUACCGAAGCACAGCCGGCAAUAAAUGAAGAUACCCAGGACUCUAUUUGUUAUUUUGCUUGACACCGCGUUUCGUUAAAUAUGUUUAGC